rnacentral:tRNA from 1 species
AAAUAAGAAGCAAGUUGCGUUUAGUUUCGACCUAAAAAAUAGAUUUUUAUAAUCCUUAUUUA